AGUCGUAACAAGGUUUCCGUAGGUGAACCUGCGGAAGGAUCAUUAAUGAAUUUUAGGACGUUCUUUUUAGAAGUCCGACCCUUUCAUUUUCUUACACCGUGCACACACUUCUUUUUUACACACACUUUUAACACCUUAGUAUAAGAAUGUAAUAGUCUCUUAAUUGAGCAUAAAUAAAAACAAAACUUUCAGCAACGGAUCUCUUGGCUCUCGCAUCGAUGAAGAACGCAGCGAAUUGCGAUAAGUAAUGUGAAUUGCAGAAUUCAGUGAAUCAUCGAAUCUUUGAACGCACCUUGCACUCUUUGGUAUUCCGAAGAGUAUGUCUGUUUGAGUGUCAUGAAACUCUCAACCCCCCUAUUUUGUAAUGAGAUGGGCGUGGGCUUGGAUUAUGGUUGUCUGUUGGCGUAAUUGCCGGCUCAACUGAAAUACACGGGCAACCCUACUGAAAUAAACGGUUUGACUUGGCGUAAUAAUUAUUUCGCUAAGGACGUUUUCUUCAAUUAUAAGAGGUGCUUCUAAUUCGCUUCUAAUAGCAUUUAAGCUUUAGACCUCAAAUCAGUCAGGACUACCCGCUGAACUUAAGCAUAUCUAAAAGUCG
rnacentral:rRNA from 1 species